CCUGGUGCUGGCCGAGCUGGAAGGCCGCGCCUGGGUGGCGCGCCGCGAAGAUCGUCGCUACGUGCUGGGC
rnacentral:tRNA from 1 species